ACUCAAUGUGCCGGCCGUUUCGAAUUGAAGCUCAUAAAAACGUAUUGUAAUGGAAUCUCAUAAACCUAGGCGCAUCAAGAAAUCAGUUCAACCGAUCGACUCAUCCCAGAGCCACAGGUAGCGACAUUUCUAUAAUUUUAAUCUUGGUCACUUUCAUUCUGAUGCAUACCAUGCCAACUUAAAUCUGAAAGGGAACACCCAAGGAGAUAAAAAUGCUUGGUGUUUAUUAUAGAUACAGGGACAAAGCUUUGACACUUGGUGCAUCUUCUGUCAUGAUGUAGAGUUCCUUGACUGGCAGCACUGAGGAGUGCCUACAAAGAUCAGAGGCAGUUGAGCAAUAGAAACCACGCAAACAAGCCAGACCAGCUGAGGUGAAGGGAAAAAGUAAAUGAAGCAAUGAAUUAAUGACCCGUCAAGGAUUAAAAAUGACUAUUUCUUUUAGAAGUAAAACUAAUAAAAAUGAAUAUAAGAGUUUGAUGAUUGUGUUUACCCUCAUGUUUUUACACUUGGAAUUAGAUUUUGUAUGUUGAUCGUUAAUGUUUUAGGAGUCUUAUGCGUCAAUCUGGCCCAGUUCUUGAUCAUUGUUUAGAAAAAUAGGAUUUUGUAUAGCUUUUUUCGGUUUUACUCCUACAUUCCAUGAACAUAUAUCGCCUUUUCCAAAACACCAUAACUGACUUUACAAAAUGUAUUUACCUGAU